CCGAAACCAGGUGAUCUAGCCAUGGGCAGGUUGAAGGUUGAGUAACAUCAACUGGAGGACCGAACCGACUAAUGUUGAAAAAUUAGCGGAUGACUUGUGGCUAGGGGUGAAAGGCCAAUCAAACCUGGAGAUAGCUGGUUCUCCCCGAAAGCUAUUUAGGUAGCGCCUCGGACGAAUACUACUGGGGGUAGAGCACUGUUAAGGCUAGGGGGUCAUCCCGACUUACCAACCCUUUGCAAACUCCGAAUACCAGUAAGUACUAUCCGGGAGACACACGGCGGGUGCUAACGUCCGUCGUGGAGAGGGAAACAACCCAGACCGCCAGCUAAGGUCCCAAAUUACUACUAAGUGGGAAACGAUGUGGGAAGGCUCAGACAGCCAGGAUGUUGGCUUAGAAGCAGCCAUCAUUUAAAGAAAGCGUAAUAGCUCACUGGUCGAGUCGGCCUGCGCGGAAGAUGUAACGGGGCUAAGUAGUAAACCGAAGCUGCGGCAAUGUGCUUUUGCACAUUGGGUAGGGGAGCGUUCUGUAAGCGGUUGAAGGUGUGUGGUAACGCAUGCUGGACGUAUCAGAAGUGCGAAUGCUGACAUGAGUAACGAUAAAGGGGGUGAAAAACCUCCUCGCCGGAAGACCAAGGGUUCCUGUCCAACGUUAAUCGGGGCAGGGUAAGUCGACCCCUAAGGCGAGGCCGAAAGGCGUAGUCGAUGGGAAACGGGUUAAUAUUCCCGUACUUCUUACAAUUGCGAUGGGGGGACGGAGAAGGCUAGGUGGGCCUGGCGACGGUUGUCCAGGUUCAAGUGCGUAGGCUUAAGAGUUAGGUAAAUCCGGCUCUUUCUAAGGCUGAGACACGACGUCGAGCACCUACGGGUGUGAAGUCAUUGAUGCCAUGCUUCCAGGAAAAGCCUCUAAGCUUCAGAUUGUAAGGAAUCGUACCCCAAACCGACACAGGUGGUCGGGUAGAGAAUACCAAGGCGCUUGAGAGAACUCGGGUGAAGGAACUAGGCAAAAUGGUACCGUAACUUCGGGAGAAGGUACGCUCUCGACGGUGAAGUCCCUUGCGGAUGGAGCUAUUGAGAGUCGCAGAUACCAGGUGGCUGCAACUGUUUAUUAAAAACACAGCACUGUGCAAAAUCGUAAGAUGACGUAUACGGUGUGACGCCUGCCCGGUGCCGGAAGGUUAAUUGAUGGGGUUAGACUUCGGUCGAAGCUCUUGAUCGAAGCCCCGGUAAACGGCGGCCGUAACUAUAACGGUCCUAAGGUAGCGAAAUUCCUUGUCGGGUAAGUUCCGACCUGCACGAAUGGCGUAAUGAUGGCCACGCUGUCUCCACCCGAGACUCAGUGAAAUUGAAAUCGCUGUGAAGAUGCAGUGUACCCGCGGCUAGACGGAAAGACCCCGUGAACCUUUACUACAGCUUGGCACUGAACAUUGACCCUACAUGUGUAGGAUAGGUGGGAGGCUUUGAAGCACGUACGCCAGUAUGUGUGGAGCCGUCCUUGAAAUACCACCCUUGUAGUGUUGAUGUUCUAACGUUGACCCCUUAUCGGGGUUGCGGACAGUGCCUGGUGGGUAGUUUGACUGGGGCGGUCUCCUCCCAAAGAGUAACGGAGGAGCACGAAGGUGGGCUAAUCACGGUUGGACAUCGUGAGGUUAGUGCAAUGGCAUAAGCCCGCUUGACUGCGAGAAUGACAAUUCGAGCAGGUGCGAAAGCAGGUCAUAGUGAUCCGGUGGUUCUGAAUGGAAGGGCCAUCGCUCAACGGAUAAAAGGUACUCCGGGGAUAACAGGCUGAUACCGCCCAAGAGUUCAUAUCGACGGCGGUGUUUGGCACCUCGAUGUCGGCUCAUCACAUCCUGGGGCUGAAGUCGGUCCCAAGGGUAUGGCUGUUCGCCAUUUAAAGUGGUACGCGAGCUGGGUUUAGAACGUCGUGAGACAGUUCGGUCCCUAUCUGCCGUGGGCGUUGGAAGAUUGAAGGGGGCUGCUCCUAGUACGAGAGGACCGGAGUGGACGAACCUCUGGUGUUCGGGUUGUGUCGCCAGACGCAUUGCCCGGUAGCUAAGUUCGGAAUCGAUAACCGCUGAAAGCAUCUAAGCGGGAAG
rnacentral:rRNA from 1 species